rnacentral:rRNA from 1 species
UACGUAGGGGGCAAGCGUUGUCCGGAUUUAUUGGGCGUAAAGAGCGUGUAGGCGGUUAUGCAGGUCCGCUGUGAAAACUGGAGGCUUAACCUCCAGACGUCGGUGGAAACCGUAUGACUAGAGUCCGGAAGAGGAGAGUGGAAUUCCUGGUGUAGCGGUGGAAUGCGCAGAUAUCAGGAGGAACAUCCGUGGCGAAGGCGGCUCUCUGGGACGGUACUGACGCUGAGACGCGAAAGCGUGGGGAGCGAACAGG